rnacentral:rRNA from 1 species
AUCGAUGGGCAUGUCACCCUGAACAAGUCCAAUGUCUGAUCUCAGAAGCUAAGCAGAGUCGGGCCUAGUUAGUACUUGGUUGAGAGACCACCUAGGAAGACCAGGUGCUGUAGGCA